rnacentral:lncRNA from 1 species
AUAUAUUAUAUAUACGUUUAAGACAUGGAGAAACCCAAGAAAGAAACUAAAACAAUGCGUUAACAAUUUUAAAAGUUUAAACUAUAAAAAUAUCAAAGAAGGACAAUAAAAGUGUCAAAACCUAGAGCAAAGGGCAUGUGUAACAUAAUUCCAUUUCGGUGUAUAAUUUAUGUAGAUAGGCAUCAUUGAAUUGGAUUAAACUAUCUUGUUAAGCCUCAAGUAUUGGAGUUAGCAACAUUUUGGCUGUUGAUGACAAUUUACAUCAAGAUUAUGUCGAUGAGACCAAUUUGAUGCAAAGGGAAUGAGGCAUACACCAGUCUGAAUGAAAAUAUUGGAAUAAGCCUGGGCAUAUAUUUUUGCGACCAACCAGUGAAAUCAACCCUGAAGAAUUCGACAAAGAAGAAAUGCAAUACGUCUGCUUCCAUGCUAUUGAUAUACUUUUAUCUCACAAGAUGGAUCUGGUUUCUGCAGCAGUGGUUGGCCAUUGAGAUAAUCAUAUGUAUCAACUCUACCAUUUAUUCCUUGGAGCACCAUCAUGUCUCAUGUCAUUGUAUGCAAGGGAAAAAAGAAAUUACAGAAAAAGCGAAAAAAAAAAAAAGAGAAGAGGAAACACAAGAAGAAUGAAAAAGAAAAGAGAGGCAAAAGAAAACAAAAUAUAACAAAGAAGAAAAAGAAAAAA